rnacentral:lncRNA from 1 species
CCGCGGUCUGGGGUCACUCCUUGUGAUGCUGCCAGAGCUCUUUAUGAUGCCAUAAUUUGUAGUGACAUCAUUGCUGUGUCCCUCCUUUGAGUCUGAGAGGGUUACUCAGAUAAGAGUUGGGGAAGUGGAGUCAGACAGGAGCCCUACUGAGGCUCCAAGUCAGUGGGCCGGGUUGGGCUGGACUGGAGGAGAGAGUGGUGCCAGAGGAUCCUCCCCAGGGCAGAUGGCUAUUUUUGGUGUCGACUGCUCGGCUUAUAGCCACCCCUCUUCCUGUCUUCCCAAUCCAAAGAGGCUCUGGGUCCAGCAGGGGCAGGAGCAGUAGGAGAAAUCUUUAGCCCUGCAGCAGGGCAGCUCUGGGGUCAGUCUCUAGCUCAGGAACCAGCCUGUUCCUCCCUACAGUGAGGCCUGACCCUCAGUACCUCGGGUCUGAGGGGAAGGGGGGCCUUACUUCCAAUCCUUGAAAUAGCAGUGAGGCAAAGAGAGAUUAUUAGGAUGGCCAGACAGACGGACACAGCCAGACCCACCAUAAUAGUCACACACAUUAACUUGCUGAUGUGGGCUGCAGGCACAGCCUCACGCCAACACCAUCACACUCACAGCCAUUCAUUCUCAUAGCCAUGCCCACAGCUACACGUGGGCCACAGAUGGCUGAACCACACGGACAUACCAGCACAGGCACAAUGUCACCUGUCCCAUCUGGGAGAACAGGAACCCCUUCUCUCUCACGGUUGUACUCCCAGAGAGGAGCUCAAUUCCCAGCACAUGGCAGAUGCGCACUAAUAUUUGGGCAGUGGAGGUGCCAGGCACUGACCACUGGGCUCCAGGUUCAAGAAAGGAAGAAUCUGAGAGCAGAGCCCAGGCAGGCACCUCCCAGUAAUGCUUCCUGGCUACUGAGGCUGGGGUUCUAAGGAGGUGGAGACCCCUGGCCAGGCCUGGCUUCAACUACAGGCAAUGUCCACCCUCCCCCACCUUCUCAGCAGGCCCCCAGCACCACUCCAUCAAGGUGCCCAGUGCUGCCAGCUCCUGCAGUGACCACCAGAAGUGGCCCAAGUCUGGCAUUAUUCAUAUUCCUACUAGACACACACCUAAGCUGACUAUGUGCAUCUCGAAACAGAGGCCUUGAUCCUGCAGGCUGAUGACACCACUCGAGGAAACCAGCCAGCCCUGGGGGCUCUGACGCUGGAUGCAGCCCUCCCAGGAAAUAGCUCCACUGGCUGCAGUAACUGGAGGCUCCUGAGCCACAUUUCAGCCUGCAGUGGGUGGUGGGUGGGCCCCAGCCCAACUGCUGCCCUGCCCCAGGAAGAAGCAGGCCCGUCAAAAUGUCUGACCCCGUCCGUCCCCCAUCCCCUCCCCUGCCCCAGUCUGUCCUCAGUCCUGAUCCCCCUGCCCGCCCCACAGUGGCCCAGGCUGGCCAUGCCCUUCCCACCCUGCAGGCCAGCUGCUCAGAGCCAGGGGCUCACAGCCAGGGACGGAGGCUAUCCCAGCUCCCACCCGGGCUGGGCCCAAACCUGCCUCCUUUGGGCCUCAUUCUGAUUGGAAAAAAACAGCCUCUCUAGUCCCUGUCUCAGGAAGAUGACUUUUCAAACCAGAAUCUUUCUCACAAGUGUCUCCUCAGGACACAGCUGUGUGGUUUCCUGAAGCUCUUUCUGGUUCAAGAUCUGAUCAGGAGUCCAAUGUGAAUAGGAGACAACAGAGAGCUGUCUUUGUACUUUGGCUCUGAGGAAGGUUUGUGGAAUGGACCGCGUGUGGCCUGAGAGAGCUCGCAUUUCAGGGAAUGCCUGGGCUUGAUGCCUGUUAUCUUGUUCAGUGCCUCUGAUAAAUUAAUAAACUGGAAUCUCACUCAACAAUUGGUUUCACGUGAGUUUGGCAUGUGUGCACUCGCUUCUUGGAGGCUGACUGUCCCAAGGAAAAAAAUUAAACUGUUUCCUGGCCAGAAAAUGGUGAGGACUCAGGGUCCAAAGUAGAAAU